GCCGGUGUAGCUCAGCGGUAGAGCAGCUGACUUGUAAUCAGCAGGUCGGGGGUUCGAUGCCCCCCGCCGGCUCCA
rnacentral:tRNA from 1 species